rnacentral:rRNA from 1 species
CACACGACUCUCGGCAACGGAUAUCUCGGCUCUCGCAUCGAUGAAGAACGUAGCGAAAUGCGAUACCUGGUGUGAAUUGCAGAAUCCCGUGAACCAUCGAGUCUUUGAACGCAAGUUGCGCCCGAGGCCAUCCGGCCGAGGGCACGCCUGCCUGGGCGUCGCGC